rnacentral:rRNA from 1 species
CCUACGGGAGGCAGCAGUGAGGAAUAUUGGUCAAUGGGCGAGAGCCUGAACCAGCCAAGUAGCGUGCAGGAUGACGGCCCUACGGGUCGUAAACUGCUUUUGCGGGAGAAUAAAGUCGGCCACGCGUGGCCAUUUGCAGGUAUCCCGUGAAUAAGGACCGGCUAAUUCCGUGCCAGCAGCCGCGGUAAUACGGAAGGUCC